rnacentral:lncRNA from 1 species
CCCACGACUCCAACCUCAAAGAGGACUCCGCCCGGACUCCCACGGGAGCCGGGCUCCAUCGCCAACUUCGACUGCCGGUAAGAUCAGUCCGGACUCCUACGGGAGCCGGACUUCGCACCUGAGUUUGAUUGCAAGGGACUCCGCCUUGACUCCUACGGGAGCCGGGCUCUGCUCGCGACUUCAGCUCCAAGAGGACUCCGCCCGGACUCCCACGGGAGCCGGACUCUGCCUAUGACUCCAACCUCAAGGAGGACUCCGCCCGGACUCCCACGGGAGCCGGGCUCUGUCGCCAACUUCGACUGCUGGUAAGAUCAGUCCGAACUCCUACGGGAGCCAGACUUCGCACCUGACUUUGAUUGCAGGGGACUCCGCCCGGACUCCUACGGGAGCCGGGCUCCGCCCGCGACUUCAGCUCCAAGAAGACUCCGCUCGGACUCCCACGGGAGCCGGACUCCGCCC